rnacentral:rRNA from 1 species
UACAGAGGGUGCGAGCGUUGUCCGGAAUCACUGGGCGUAAAGGGCGCGUAGGUGGCCCGACAAGUCUGUGGUGAAAGCUCGACGCUCAACGUCGAGUCGGCCAUAGAUACUGUUGGGCUGGAGCACUGUAGAGGUUCAUGGAAUUCCGGGUGUAGCGGUGGAAUGCGUAGAGAUCCGGAAGAACACCGGUGGCGAAGGCGGUGAGCUGGGCAGUAGCUGACACUGAGGCGCGACAGCGUGGGGAGCAAACAGG